rnacentral:rRNA from 1 species
GGGCGUAAGCGCGCGUAGGCGGUUUUUUAAGUCUGAUGUGAAAGCCCACGGCUCAACCGUGGAGGGUCAUUGGAAACUGGAAAACUUGAGUGCAGAAGAGGAAAGUGGAAUUCCAUGUGUAGCGGUGAAAUGCGCAGAGAUAUGGAGGAACACCAGUGGCGAAGGCGACUUUCUGGUCUGUAACUGACGCUGAUGUGCGAAAGCGUGGGGAUCAAACAGGAUUAGAUACCCUGGUAGUCCACGCCGUAAACGAUGAGUGCUAAGUGUUAGGGGGUUUCCGCCCCUUAGUGCUGCAGCUAACGCAUUAAGCACUCCGCCUGGGGAGUACGACCGCAAGGUUGAAACUCAGAGGAAUUGACGGGGACCCGCACAAGCGGUGGAGCAUGUGGUUUAAUUCGAAGCAACGCGAAGAACCUUACCAAAUCUUGACAUCCUCUGACCCCUCUAGAGAUAGAGUUUUCCCCUUCGGGGGACAGAGUGACAGGUGGUG